GGAUUGUGGCUCUGUGGUAGAGCGCUCGCUUAGCACGGGCCGGGACCUGGGUUCAAUUCUCAGCACCA
rnacentral:tRNA from 1 species